AUUCGAUUGGAUUAGGCAUGCAAGUCGAACGCCCAAGCUUCGGCUAGGGAGUGGCGGACGGGUGAGUAACGCGUAGGAAUCUACCCUUUGGUGAGGAAUAGCCUCGAGAAAUCGGGGGUAAUACCGCAUAAUCCGGCAACGGAAAAGAGCAUAACUGCUCGCCGAAGGAGGAGCCUGCGUCCUAUCAGCUUGUUGGUGAGGUAAUGGCUCACCAAGGCAAUGACGGGUAGCUGGUCUGAGAGGAUGGUCAGCCACAAGGGCACUGAGACACGGGCCCUACACCUACGGGUGGCAGCAACCGGGAAUAUUGCGCAAUGGGCGAAAGCCUGACGCAGCGACGCCGCGUGCGGGAUGAAGGCCUUCGGGUUGUAAACCGCUUUUAUUCGUCGGUCGACGACGAAGGAAUAACCGCCUGCAAACUACGUGCCAGAAGCCUCGGUGAUACGUAGGGCGGAAGCGUUAUCCGGAUUUAUUGGGCGUAAAGAGUUUCAUAGGUGGUUAGUUAAGUCCAAGUUCAAAGCCUGGGGCUCAACCCCGGAAAGGGUUUGGAUACUGACUAACUAGAGGUCUUUAGAGGGUGCUGGAAUUCCUGGUGUAGGAGUGAAAUCCAUUGAUAUCAGGAGGAACGCCAAGGGCGAAGGCAGGCACCUGGGAAUGACCUGACGCUAAGGAACGAAAGCUAGGGUAGCAAAAGGGAUUAGAGACCCCUGUAGUCCUAGCCGUAAACGAUCCCCGCUAGCUGGUCCGACUUUGAGUCGGACUGGCGUAAGCUAACGCGUUAAGCGGGGCGCCUGGGGAGUACGACCGCAAGG
rnacentral:rRNA from 1 species